GGGUUGUGAGGUUAAGCGACUAAGCGUACACGGUGGAUGCCCUGGCAGUCAGAGGCGAUGAAGGACGUGCUAAUCUGCGAUAAGCGUCGGUAAGGUGAUAUGAACCGUUAUAACCGGCGAUUUCCGAAUGGGGAAACCCAGUGUGUUUCGACACACUAUCAUUAACUGAAUCCAUAGGUUAAUGAGGCGAACCGGGGGAACUGAAACAUCUAAGUACCCCGAGGAAAAGAAAUCAACCGAGAUUCCCCCAGUAGCGGCGAGCGAACGGGGAGGAGCCCAGAGCCUGAAUCAGUGUGUGUGUUAGUGGAAGCGUCUGGAAAGGCGCGCGAUACAGGGUGACAGCCCCGUACACAAAAAUGCACAUACUGUGAGCUCGAUGAGUAGGGCGGGACACGUGGUAUCCUGUCUGAAUAUGGGGGGACCAUCCUCCAAGGCUAAAUACUCCUGACUGACCGAUAGUGAACCAGUACCGUGAGGGAAAGGCGAAAAGAACCCCGGCGAGGGGAGUGAAAAAGAACCUGAAACCGUGUACGUACAAGCAGUGGGAGCCUCUUUUAUGGGGUGACUGCGUACCUUUUGUAUAAUGGGUCAGCGACUUAUAUUCUGUAGCAAGGUUAACCGAAUAGGGGAGCCGAAGGGAAACCGAGUCUUAACUGGGCGUUAAGUUGCAGGGUAUAGACCCGAAACCCGGUGAUCUAGCCAUGGGCAGGUUGAAGGUUGGGUAACACUAACUGGAGGACCGAACCGACUAAUGUUGAAAAAUUAGCGGAUGACUUGUGGCUGGGGGUGAAAGGCCAAUCAAACCGGGAGAUAGCUGGUUCUCCCCGAAAGCUAUUUAGGUAGCGCCUCGUGAAUUCAUCUCCGGGGGUAGAGCACUGUUUCGGCAAGGGGGUCAUCCCGACUUACCAACCCGAUGCAAACUGCGAAUACCGGAGAAUGUUAUCACGGGAGACACACGGCGGGUGCUAACGUCCGUCGUGAAGAGGGAAACAACCCAGACCGCCAGCUAAGGUCCCAAAGUCAUGGUUAAGUGGGAAACGAUGUGGGAAGGCCCAGACAGCCAGGAUGUUGGCUUAGAAGCAGCCAUCAUUUAAAGAAAGCGUAAUAGCUCACUGGUCGAGUCGGCCUGCGCGGAAGAUGUAACGGGGCUAAACCAUGCACCGAAGCUGCGGCAGCGACGCUUAUGCGUUGUUGGGUAGGGGAGCGUUCUGUAAGCCUGUGAAGGUGUACUGUGAGGCAUGCUGGAGGUAUCAGAAGUGCGAAUGCUGACAUAAGUAACGAUAAAGCGGGUGAAAAGCCCGCUCGCCGGAAGACCAAGGGUUCCUGUCCAACGUUAAUCGGGGCAGGGUGAGUCGACCCCUAAGGCGAGGCCGAAAGGCGUAGUCGAUGGGAAACAGGUUAAUAUUCCUGUACUUGGUGUUACUGCGAAGGGGGGACGGAGAAGGCUAUGUUGGCCGGGCGACGGUUGUCCCGGUUUAAGCGUGUAGGCUGGUUUUCCAGGCAAAUCCGGAAAAUCAAGGCUGAGGCGUGAUGACGAGGCACUACGGUGCUGAAGCAACAAAUGCCCUGCUUCCAGGAAAAGCCUCUAAGCAUCAGGUAACAUCAAAUCGUACCCCAAACCGACACAGGUGGUCAGGUAGAGAAUACCAAGGCGCUUGAGAGAACUCGGGUGAAGGAACUAGGCAAAAUGGUGCCGUAACUUCGGGAGAAGGCACGCUGAUAUGUAGGUGAAGCGACUUGCUCGUGGAGCUGAAAUCAGUCGAAGAUACCAGCUGGCUGCAACUGUUUAUUAAAAACACAGCACUGUGCAAACACGAAAGUGGACGUAUACGGUGUGACGCCUGCCCGGUGCCGGAAGGUUAAUUGAUGGGGUUAGCGGUAACGCGAAGCUCUUGAUCGAAGCCCCGGUAAACGGCGGCCGUAACUAUAACGGUCCUAAGGUAGCGAAAUUCCUUGUCGGGUAAGUUCCGACCUGCACGAAUGGCGUAAUGAUGGCCAGGCUGUCUCCACCCGAGACUCAGUGAAAUUGAACUCGCUGUGAAGAUGCAGUGUACCCGCGGCAAGACGGAAAGACCCCGUGAACCUUUACUAUAGCUUGACACUGAACAUUGAGCCUUGAUGUGUAGGAUAGGUGGGAGGCUUUGAAGUGUGGACGCCAGUCUGCAUGGAGCCGGCCUUGAAAUACCACCCUUUAAUGUUUGAUGUUCUAACGUUGGCCCCUGAUCGGGGUUGCGGACAGUGUCUGGUGGGUAGUUUGACUGGGGCGGUCUCCUCCUAAAGAGUAACGGAGGAGCACGAAGGUUGGCUAAUCCUGGUCGGACAUCAGGAGGUUAGUGCAAUGGCAUAAGCCAGCUUGACUGCGAGCGUGACGGCGCGAGCAGGUGCGAAAGCAGGUCAUAGUGAUCCGGUGGUUCUGAAUGGAAGGGCCAUCGCUCAACGGAUAAAAGGUACUCCGGGGAUAACAGGCUGAUACCGCCCAAGAGUUCAUAUCGACGGCGGUGUUUGGCACCUCGAUGUCGGCUCAUCACAUCCUGGGGCUGAAGUAGGUCCCAAGGGUAUGGCUGUUCGCCAUUUAAAGUGGUACGCGAGCUGGGUUUAGAACGUCGUGAGACAGUUCGGUCCCUAUCUGCCGUGGGCGCUGGAGAACUGAGGGGGGCUGCUCCUAGUACGAGAGGACCGGAGUGGACGCAUCACUGGUGUUCGGGUUGUCAUGCCAAUGGCACUGCCCGGUAGCUAAAUGCGGAAGAGAUAAGUGCUGAAAGCAUCUAAGCACGAAACUUGCCCCGAGAUGAGUUCUCCCUGAGACUU
rnacentral:rRNA from 1 species